rnacentral:rRNA from 1 species
CAUUACAAAGAACGCCCGGGCUUCGGCCUGGUUAUUCAUAACCCUUUGUUGUCCGACUCUGUUGCCUCCGGGGCGACCCUGCCUUCGGGCGGGGGCUCCGGGUGGACACUUCAAACUCUUGCGUAACUUUGCAGUCUGAGUAAACUUAAUUAAUAAAUUAAAACUUUUAACAACGGAUCUCUUGGUUCUGGCAUCGAUGAAGAACGCAGCGAAAUGCGAUAAGUAAUGUGAAUUGCAGAAUUCAGUGAAUCAUCGAAUCUUUGAACGCACAUUGCGCCCCCUGGUAUUCCGGGGGGCAUGCCUGUUCGAGCGUCAUUUCACCACUCAAGCCUCGCUUGGUAUUGGGCAACGCGGUCCGCCGCGUGCCUCAAAUCGUCCGGCUGGGUCUUCUGUCCCCUAAGCGUUGUGGAAACUAUUCGCUAAAGGGUGUUCGGGAGGCUACGCCGUAAAACAACCCCAUUUCUAAGGUUGACCUCGGAUCAGGUAGGGAUACCCGCUGAACUUAAGCAUAUCAAUAAGCGGAGGA